rnacentral:rRNA from 1 species
ACUCAAAGGAAUUGACGGGGGCCCGCACAAGCAGCGGAGCGUGUGGUUUAAUUCGAGGCUACACGAAGAACCUUACCUGGGUUUGACAUGUGCCUGGUAGGGCGCAGAAAUGCAACCGACCGCAAGGAGGGCACACAGGUGCUGCAUGGCUGUCGUCAGCUCGUGCCGUGAGGUGUUAGGUUAAGUCCUGUAACGAGCGCAACCCUCGGACGUAGUUACACGUUGUCUACGUCAACUGCCCGUGACAAGCGGGAGGAAGGUGGGGAUGACGUCAAGUCAGCAUGGCCUUUAUAUCCAGGGCUACACACACGCUACAAUGGCCGGUACAAUGGGUCGCCAAGCGGCAACGCGGAGCCAAUCCAGACAAAGCCGGUCGUAGUUCGGAUUGUGGGCUGCAACCCGCCCACAUGAAGUCGGAGUUGCUAGUAACCGCCGGUCAGCCAUACGGCGGUGAAUACGUUCCCGGGCCUUGUACACACCGCCCGU